UACAGAGGUCCCGAGCGUUGUUCGGAUUCAUUGGGCGUAAAGGGUGCGUAGGCGGCGGGGCAAGUCAGAUGUGAAAUCCCGGGGCUCAACCCCGGAACUGCAUUGGAUACUGCCUUGCUAGAGUACUGGAGAGGGAACUGGAAUUUACGGUGUAGCAGUGAAAUGCGUAGAUAUCGUAAGGAAGACCAGUGGCGAAGGCGACUCUCUGGACAGUUACUGACGCUGAGGCACGAAGGCCAGGGGAGCAAACGGG
rnacentral:rRNA from 1 species